GUCGAGCGAGAAGGCUCCUUCGGGAGUGAGUACGGCGGCGAACGGGUGAGUAACACGUGGGCAACCUGCCUCAGGGAGCGGGACAACCCGGGGAAACUUGGGCUAAUACCGCAUGAUUCGCACCGGCUCAAGCCGAUGCGGGAAAAGGUAGCUUAGGCCUCCGCCCUGAGAUGGGCCCGCGGCCGAUUAGCUUGUUGGUGAGGUAACGGCUCACCAAGGCGACGGUCGGUAGCUGGUCUGAGAGGACGAUCAGCCACACUGGGACUGAGACACGGCCCAGACUCCUACGGGAGGCAGCAGUGGGGAAUAUUGGACAAUGGGCGCAAGCCUGAUCCAGCCAUGCCGCGUGAGUGAUGAAGGCCUUAGGGUUGUAAAGCUCUUUCGCCAGGGACGAUAAUGACGGUACCUGGAUAAGAAGCCCCGGCUAACUUCGUGCCAGCCGCCGCCGUAAAAC
rnacentral:rRNA from 1 species